AAUAAUCAAGAAUGAUAAAUAAAAAGAAUUGGAUAAUUCUUUAUUAUCAGUGAUUUGGUGAAAAAAGUUGGUAGUAAUACAGUGUAUGAGUUAUAAACUAUCAAUUCCUGUGGUACUCUCCAUUGAAUUUAAGACGAAGUGCCUGUAAAAAGAAAAUUAGUGAUGUAAGGGAGACUUACCAGCGUUCUUUUCCACACCUUUGAUAACGCAAGCUCUGGUAUUCUGCUUAGCUUUCUGUCUUAUAGUGACGGUAACAUCGUAAUUAUUCUGAACGUCGGCUAACUGAUCAGGUCUGGUCCUCAAACUACCACUUUCUUCCGGUAAAUCGAAAAUAAUUAUCAACGGAAGACUACCCAACAGCAACUGUCUAGCUUUAUAAACGUCGUGGAUAUUUCCGGAGAUGUUGACGUUGCUCUUCUUCAAAUUCGGAAUAUUCGGAUCCUGAGCAUCGGGAAACAUAAUUUGGCAGUUGGUAUAUUUCAUAAUCUGUUUGAGAUUAGAGUGAUUCUUGCCCAAGACGACUUGGUGAUGGUGAGGGGAUAUUUCCAUAGACAUUUGUACGGGAAUUUGAUUCUGGAAAGGAUUUUAUUUAUCCGAAGGAACGUAAAUUAUUAUGAAAAAUAAUAAUUUACCGCUAAACUUUCGCACAUGUAUUCCAUGAGUAAAAUGGUCGCUUGUUUCACUUGAUCAACUUCCCAUUCGACUCCUUUUACCAAAACUAAAGUAGCGUGGAGUUUCGGUCUGGUUUUGAACAUGACUUGAACUUUGUACUGUUCUUGAAUCUUAACGAUAUACGUAGAUGUGGCAUCGAUGUUUUGCGUCAUUAUAGGUAACUCGAAACCGAAAAUCAAAGGUAUCAAUUCCUGUGGGAGAAACAUUUUUUUCAUAUAAAAUGGUCACCCUUCGAAGAGGUCGAAUUGGAUUGGUGAAAAAUGGAAAAGGCACACAUCACAUCACCCUGUAUAAUAUGUUACGUUACGAUAAAUUCAAAAACUAGCUGAAAAUAUUGGAGAAUUAGCUAGAAAAACUCAACAAUAAGAUAUAAAACUCAAAAAAUAGCUAGAAAAAUUCAAAAAUUAGCUACAAAGCUCAAAAAUUACUUAGAAAACUCAAACAAUUGGUAGAAAACUGAAAACUUUGCUGGAAAAAAAUAAAAAAUUGGUUAUAAAAACUUAAAAAAGCUAUAAAACCCAAAAAUUGGCUAGAGAUACUGGAAUUACCUAGAAAAACUCAAAACUCUGCUGGAAAAAUUCGAAAAUUCAAAA